rnacentral:rRNA from 1 species
UCAAUAAGCGGAGGAAAAGAAACUAACAAGGAUUCCCCUAGUAACUGCGAGUGAAGAGGGAAGAGCUCAAAUUUGAAAUCUGGCAGUGUUUUGCUGUCCGAGUUGUAAUCUAGAGAAGUGCUGCCCGUGCUGGACCAUGUACAAGUCUCCUGGAAUGGAGCGUCACAGAGGGUGAGAAUCCCGUCUUUGACAUGGACUGCCAGUGCAUUUGUGGUGUGCUCUCAAAGAGUCGAGUUGUUUGGGAAUGCAGCUCUAAAUGGGUGGUAAACUCCAUCUAAAGCUAAAUAUUGGCGAGAGACCGAUAGCGAACAAGUACCGUGAGGGAAAGAUGAAAAGAACUUUGGAAAGAGAGUUAAACAGUAUGUGAAAUUGUUGAAAGGGAAACGCUUAAAGUCAGUCGUGUCGGCCAGGGAUCAACUCAGUAGUAUCCACUGGGUGUAUUUCCUGAUCUGAUGGGCCAACAUCAGUUUUGACUGCUGGAAAAGGAUAGAGGGAAUGUGGCACCUUUGGGUGUGUUAUAGCUCUCUGUCGGAUGCAGUGGUUGGGACUGAGGAAAGCAGCAUGCCGCAAGGCCGGGUCGUUUCGACCACGUUCAUGCUGAGGAUGUUGGCAUAAUGGCUUUAAUCGACCCGUCUUGAAACACG